UUUAUAAUAAACCAAUCCUUCAGGUAGACUACAGAAAUUUGAAGCAAGGAAAGUUAACUAUGUCUACAUCUCUACAAUUACAAUAUGGUUACUCGACUAGUUCACUAACAUAAGUCGACCGUCUUUACUCAAAGACAAAUGGGACUCGAUUUUAGACUGUUGUCAUUCAACAGAGGCCAUCUCACAGCCUAUUCAUAGGUUUGCUAAUUAAACUGAACAAACAUUCGCAUUCUAUGGGGCAAGCUGUAAAACCUUCCUAGAGGAUCAAUAUGGCCCACUAUUUCUUGGUGCAACUUGUAGUGCAUGGGUUUUGAGCAUUCAAAUAGGAUAGCAUGGAAUAUAGUAAGAGUAGCUUUCUCCAGCUUCACCAAUAUAAAACAAAAGAAUAACGGUCAAAAAUGGGGAAAUACACAAUAAAAAACAAUAUUCAAAAAUCUUGAAGAUGUUUUAAUAUACUAAGUAAUUACAAAUAAAAUGAAAUAACCGUGACAGGCUUACACAGAAACUACACGAAACCUAAACAGAAUCAGUUACAUUAGAACAGUUACUCUUAACAUUAAUUAAAAGAAAUUUAGUCAACUCUACCUAAGAAUGAAGACACACCGCAGUGUCCUGGAAA